rnacentral:rRNA from 1 species
UGCAGUCGAACGGCAGCACGGGGGCAACCCUGGUGGCGGGUGGCGAACGGGUGAGGAAUGCACCGGAACGUAUCUUCAAGUGGGGGAUAACGCAUCGAAAGGUGUGCUAAUACCGCAUAAUCUCUGAGGAGAAAAGCAGGGGAUCGCAAGACCUUGCGCUUUUGGAGCGGCCGAUGCCUGAUUAGCUUGUUGGUGAGGUAAAAGCUCACCAAGGCUUCGAUCAGUAGCUGGUCUGAGAGGACGACCAGCCACACUGGGACUGAGACACGGCCCAGACUCCUACGGGAGGCAGCAGUGGGGAAUUUUGGACAAUGGGGGCAACCCUGAUCCAGCCAUGCCGCGUGAGUGAAGAAGGCCUUCGGGUUGUAAAGCUCUUUCAGCCGGAACGAAACGGUCACGGUUAAUACCCGUGACUACUGACGGUACCGGAAGAAGAAGCACCGGCUAACUACGUGCCAGCAGCCGCGGUAAUACGUAGGGUGCGAGCGUUAAUCGGAAUUACUGGGCGUAAAGCGUGCGCAGGUGGUUUUGUAAGUCAGAUGUGAAAUCCCCGGGCUUAACCUGGGAACUGCGUUUGAAACUGCAAGGCUAGAGUGUGGCAGAGGGGGGUGGAAUUCCGCGUGUAGCAGUGAAAUGCGUAGAGAUGUGGAGGAACACCGAUGGCGAAGGCAGCCCCCUGGGUCAACACUGACGCUCAGGCACGAAAGCAUGGGGAGCAAACAGGAUUAGAUACCCUGGUAGUCCAUGCCCUAAACGAUGUCAACUAGUUGUCGGGUCUUAACGGGCUUGGUAACGUAGCUAACGCGUGAAGUUGACCGCCUGGGGAGUACGAUCGCAAGAUUAAAACUCAAAGGAAUUGACGGGGA